rnacentral:rRNA from 6 species
UAGGGAAUCUUCGGCAAUGGGGGCAACCCUGACCGAGCAACGCCGCGUGAGUGAAGAAGGUUUUCGGAUCGUAAAGCUCUGUUGUAAGUCAAGAACGGGUGUGAGAGUGGAAAGUUCACACUGUGACGGUAGCUUACCAGAAAGGGACGGCUAACUACGUGCCAGCAGCCGCGGUAAUACGUAGGUCCCGAGCGUUGUCCGGAUUUAUUGGGCGUAAAGCGAGCGCAGGCGGUUUGAUAAGUCUGAAGUUAAAGGCUGUGGCUCAACCAUAGUUCGCUUUGGAAACUGUCAAACUUGAGUGCAGAAGGGGAGAGUGGAAUUCCAUGUGUAGCGGUGAAAUGCGUAGAUAUAUGGAGGAACACCGGUGGCGAAAGCGGCUCUCUGGUCUGUAACUGACGCUGAGGCUCGAAAGCGUGGGGAGCGAACAGG